CAGGGGCAGCAAGAUGGUGCCACAGACCCUGUUCCUCAUGUCCCUGUUGCUCUGGGCCUCUGGUGCCAGUGGGGACAUCACAAUGACCCAGUCUACAGCUUUCCUGGCUGCGUCUCCAGGAGUAACAGUGACCAUCAACUGCAAGGCCAGCCAGAGUGUUUUUUCCAGCUCCGAUAAGAAAGACUAUUUAGCCUGGUACCAGCAGAAACCAGGACAGGCUCCUAAGCGGCUCAUCUACUAUGCAUCGACCAGGGCAUCUGGGGUCCCUGACCGGUUCAGUGGCAGUGGGUCUGGGACAGACUUCACUUUGACCAUCAGCAACUUCCAGGCUGAAGACACUGCGGUUUAUUACUGUCAACAAGGUUAUAAUACUCCACCCACGGUGCUUCAGCCUCGAACAAAAACCUCCUCCCGAGGGUUACAGGCCAGUGAGUCUUCACUGCACCAGCUGCUUCCUUUCUGCUCAGCCCUGAACAUGCACGCUUCCUUUGUCUGCCCCAAAGCCUGAAUCUCCUGACUAAUUCCUUGGAGUAUUUGUAGGUUUCAGGAGAAAAUUAAGGGAUGUGCCUUCUUCUGGAUCCACUUUCGUGAUAAAUUAAAGAAAAGAAAAUGCUCUAAAAAUCUUUUGUAGGCUUUGUCAGGAGUUCUCAUAUCACAGGAACCUGCAUGUUUCACAUGGAUAGAUCACAUGACUGAUUUGGAGAGGGUUCACUGUGCUUUAUACCCUGAAAGAUCAGUUCUCUCUUCCCUGUGCCUUCUUGACUAUGCAACAUUCCCAUUUUAUUUCCUUGUGUUCCUGGACUUUUUUCCUUUCUGUGCCAUUACCCCUCCUUACUCUGGGCCUAACCCAAUAUUAAGCCUGGACCCUUCAUAUUUAAAAUCUCCCUCACAGAAGGGAGUAUUUCUCUCUUCUGUUUUCCUUCCACGGAUCCUGUUUUCCAGCCACGUCUUCCUGAUCAACAUCAAUGAAGGCAUUUUCGUGCUCCAAGCUCCCAUUUUACUGCCUGUUCUCCUCUUUCCAUGUCUUUUAGUGGCGCUCGUUCUGUUAAAGGCCCGACUCAUUAAUCCUAUCACUCUACAAACAUGUGAUAGCUUUCCCAUGUUCUUUUUCAUUAGUUGUCAAUUCCUCUUUGCAUUAAUCCCUUGGGUGCCCAAGUUUAAUUUAGUGACUGCAGGAAAUCAUGGUUCUUUCUCGUUGUUAGUUGCCAUCUUGUGAGUCCAUGACUCAUGAAAAUUCAACGCACAAUAUUAUCUGAUUGUUGUGAUCCAUAGGGUUUUCCCUGGCUGAUUUCCCAGAACUAGGUCACCAGGCCUUUCUUUCUAGUCUGUAUUAGUCUGCAAGUGCUACUGAAGCCUGCUCAGCAUCACAGCAACACGUGUAGAGGAAGUACGGUGAGUGAGGCCCGUAGGUCCCUGCUACGGUGUAUGCUGAUGACAAUCCAAGUAGUGUUUCCUGUCAGUAUAGUUGAGAGUCUAACUGGCCCUGCAGCUAAUGGAGACUUUCCAACCUGGGAGACGGACAGAGAUUCUGGCACCUACUGAGGAGGAUCUGUCCUCUGGAACAUAAAAUGUCAGACACAUGAGGAUGAUCCAGAGAUACCGUGUAACCAGGGACACAAGAAACAUCAAACCAAUGGUCUCUAACUGGGACAAGUGGACAGGACUUGGUGGCUUGCAGCUUUUAUUACAUAUCUUAUUUCAAAAUGUAGACCUAUCUAAAUAGGAGGAUCACUCUGGAAGAAAAUUCCAUGUCUAGGAGAUGAAGCUUCUGGGGCAGAUAGAGGAAGUGUGCAUGUUCGGGACUGUGUGGAAAGGAAGCAGCUGGUGCAGUGAAGACUCACAGGCCUCCAGCCCUGGGGAAGAGCUUCCGUUUGAGGCUGAAACAGUGUGAGAGGUUAAACAUAAUGUUCCUAACAGCAAUAAUCUGCCAUGUCUUCAGUCUGGAGGCUGCUGAUUGUGACGGAUCCACUGCCACUAAACAGGUCAGGGAUCUCAGACGCCUAGUUGGAUGCAAAGGAGAUAAACAGCUUUGGAGCCUGUCCCAGUUUUUGCUUAUACCAGGCCAAGACAGUGCUAACACUCUGGCUGGACUUGCACUGAUGGUGAUCAUUCUUCUGAAGACAUGGUCAGGGAGACAGGAGACUGUGUUAUCACAAUGUCUCUACUGACACCUGCAAUCAGAGAGGGCAAUUACCAUACAUACAUGUAUACACACACUUUUUCAUAGACACCUUAAAAUAUACCAUUUUAAAUGGGCAUUUUAGCCGAAUAUGUGUCACAUAUAAUUGAGUCAUUUUUGGAAAUAGCCAUCAUUUUCCACUACAUCUUAAAUCAUUUUUCACCUCUACAAAGAUACUUCUUUAAAGGGAUUGAGGCAAUGUUCAUUUCUCACCAGAGACCCAGAGCAACAGGAACAUGAGGACAGGAGCUUGUAACACCAUCUUGCUGCCUCCACCUGCCUGAUAAAGAUCAGUGCACAUUGCAAAGUCCCCAUUGAUAAAAUCUGAGCUGCCAGACUGGGCCUGGAGAAUCUACGCAAAGCCAUCAUUGAAUGUGGAAGCAAAGUACAUAGGCAGUGGGUUGUGAAAGGAACUGAUGUAAAUCAAGAUCUAAUUACUAGAAAAGACAAAGUAGGCAUCUUAGAAGCUCUCAUAUCAACAUAUAAACUCUAAAACUACAAGCAGUAGCUUCUCUUAAGAGCUUCUAUUUAAAAUAAGAAAAAAAAUUGAAAUGGGUUCAGGGCCCACAAAUGAUAUGCUAGUUUCCUGAUUUCUGCAAUCCUGGUGAAAUAAUACAAAAUGCUGGAAAUAUAUAAAAGAGAUUGAGGAGUAAAGAAGAGAUGACAAUGGAGAAAUUUUGGUUAACUUUUUGAUAAAAAUUUAUGGCCAGAAAAUGUCUGAGCUCUAAACCCAAUUUUAUCUUGAAGGACAGUUGAAGUCACUGUAUAUGCUAAUGAAUUACUUCUAGAGAUAUGUAAAAUCCAGGAAAAUGGAAGACAGACCCAGAAAUUACCAAUGUGAGGAGUCCUGAGGAACCCUAUGUUGCACUAGGGCCAAGGGAUUGGUGGCUCUAAUCUCAAAGACAGUAUGAACCAGAGAAACUAAACGUAUCCUUCUCACAGCUGCUAGAAAAUGAUCAAAGGGCUCUAGCGUCAUUGUGGAAAUGGACAGGGAAUAAUAAGCAAAAUUUCCUUGGGAAGUUGUGUCUGGAAGUCAACCUUCCAAGGAGUUUCACUCCAGCUAUGUAUGGCCUAGGUGUGUCUGGAACUCUCCAACCUUGAAAUUAGUUUAAGAAGGCCCAAUCAAUAGAAAGCUGACCUAAAAGAGGGCACACCCAUCAUAAAUCCUCAGGGCACCUGACAAACAAUUUUUCAUACACUGAUACCACGAAGAAGUCAGAGAUCCUUGACAUCCAAGAAAAUAAGAUAACUAAGAUAUGAAUAUGAAUGUGAAGCUACUGAAAUAACAGAGAACAAAAGGUGUUCUCCUCACACUUUAGAUUUGGAGGCUAUGUGAGUUUAUUUAAAGAAAUAAAUGAUAAACUUUACAUUGUAUGCAAGACAUGGAAACUAAACGCAGGGUACUACACAUCUGAAAAACAAAAAAUCCAGAAAUUAGAUGCAGAAUACACUUCUAUUAGUUUGUCGUACCGUAGGGGCUUGCAUAUUGCUGUAAUGCUGGUAGCUAUGCCACCAAUAUACAAAUACCAGGUGGGUCACCACAGUGGGCCUGGUUUCAGUUGAGCUUCUAGAGUAAGAAAGACUAGGACGAAGGACCUGGUGGUCUGCUUCUGAAAGAAUUAGCCAGUAAAAGCCUUAUUAAUAGCAGCAGAACAAUGUCUGUUUCACUGCCAGAAGAUGAGCCCCUCAUGUCGGAAGGCACUCAGAAGAUGAGUGGGGGAGAGCUGCCUCCUUAAAGUAGAGUUGACCUUAAUGCUGUGCAUGAAGUCUAGCUUUUGGGACAUUUGCGUGCUGAUAUGGCGUGACUCAAAGUGAGAAGAACCAGGUAAACAUCCUUUGUUAAUGGAAAUGUACAAUGCACGAUCUAUAAGUAGGAAAUGAGAAAUUGUCAGAAAUGAAAUAGAAUACCUAAAGAUCAAUAUCCUAGGCAUUAGUCAGCCAAAAUGGACUCAUAUUGGUCAUUUUGAGUUGGAAAAUCAUAUGAUCUACUAUGCCAGGAAUGAUAACUUGAAGAGGAAUGGUGUUGCAUUUAUCAUCAAGAAGAACAAUUCAAAAUCUAUCCUGAAGUACAACGUUGACAGUGAUAGAAUAACAUCUACACGUAUACGAGUAAGACCAGUUAAUGUGAGUAUUAUUCAAAUUUACCCACUAACCACUAAGGCCAAAGAUGAAGAAAUAGAAGAUUUUUACCAAGUUCUGCAGUCUGAAAUUGAUCGAAUAUGCAAUCAGUAUGGUGAUAGGAAUGUGAAAGUUGGAAACAAAGAGGAAGGAUUAGUAUUUGAAAAGUAUGGCUUUGGUGAUAGAAAGGAUGCCAGAGAUUGCAUGAUUUAGGGAGGAUGAAAAGAGAUGGUCCGGGUUUGGUGACUAUAUAGAAGUAUUUCAAUGAGCCUUAAGGUAAAGGAGAAGAGUGAAACAGGACGUAACUGGAGGGAGAUGUGAAAUCUGGACAGUUUUUUAAAAAGAUGUUUCGUGCUGACGGAAAUGAUGCUAAAGUGAGGAGAACAGAUAGUAACAGAUAGUUGAGAAAAGAGAGGUGAGAAAUGCCAAGAUACCCUUGGAAGGGACAGUGGUAUAGGAACAGAGGGACUGGCCUCAGGUAGGAGGGCUGUCUGCUCAUCUACAGUAACAGGAAGAAAGGAAGGCAGAACAUGGGGAUGUAGAUGCCUGUGGAUCAGAAGAUACAUGAGAGGAGCUAGUGGAAGCUCUUCUAAGAAACAGGAAAUGAGGUCAUGUGCUUGGCAUUUCACAAACUGAAAGAACUGAAGAAAAAAUUCAAGCCUUGAGUUGCAAUAGUGAAACAUUCCAUGGGGAAAAUAUUAAAUGGCACAGGAAGCAUCAGAAGAAGAUGGAAGGAAUACACAGAGUCAUUACACCAAAAAGAAUUUGUUGAUAUUCAAACAUUUCAAGAGGUGGUAUAUGAUCAGGAACUGAUGGUACUGAAGGGAGAAGUCUAAGCUGCUCUGAAGGCAUUGGCGAAAACAAGGCUCCAGGAAUUGAUUGAAUAUCAAUUGAGAUGUUUCAACAAACAGAUGCAAUGCUGGAGGUGCUCACUCGUCUAUGCCAAGAAAUAUGGAAGACAGCUUCCUGGCCAACUGACUGGAAGGGAUCCAUAUUUAUGCUUAUUCCCAAGAAACGUGAUCCAACCGAAUGUGGAAAUUAUAGAACAAUAUGAUUAAUAUCACAUGCAAGCAAAAUUUUGCUGAAGAUCAUUCAAAAACGGCUGCAGCAGUGUAUCGACAGGGAACUGCCAGAAAUUCAGGCUGGUUUCAGAAGAGGACAUGGAACCAGGGAUAUCACUGCUGUCAGAUGGAUCCUGGCUGAAAGCAGAGAAUACCAGAAGGAUGUUUACCUGUGUUUUACUGACUAGGCAAAGGCAUUUGACUGUGUGGAUCAUAACAAACUGUGGAUAACAGUGCGAGGAGUGGGAGUUCCAGAACACUUAUUUAUGCUCAUGGGGAACCUUUACACAGAUCAAGAGGCAGUUGUUUUGGACAGAAGAAGGGGAUACUGAUUGGUAUAAAGUCAGGAAAGGUGUGCCUCAUGAUUGUAUUCUUUCACCACAUCUAUUUAAUCUGUUUGCUGAACAAAUAAUCUGAGAAGCUGGACUAUAUGAAGAAGAAUGGGGCAUCAUGAUUGGAGGAAAACUCAUUAACAACCUGCAUUAUGCAGAUGACACAACCUUGCUUGCUGAAUGUGAAGAGGACUUGAAGCACUUACUAAUGAAAAUCAAAGACCACAGCCUUCAGUAUGGAUUACUCCGCAACAUAAAGAAAACAAAAAUCCUCACAACUGGGCCAACGAGCAACAUCAUUAUAAAUAGAGAAAAGAUUGAAGUUGUCAAGGAUUUCAUUUUACUUGGAUCCACAAUCAACAGCCAUGGAAGCAGCAGUCAAGAAGAUGCAUUGCAUUGGAAAAAUCUACUGCAAAGGACCUCUUCAAAGUGUUGAAGAGCAAAGAUGUCACCCUGAAGACUAUGGUGUGCCUGACCCAAGCCAUGGUAUUUUCAAUCGCAUCAUAUGCAUGUGAAAGCUGGACAAUGAAUAAGGAAGACCGAAGAAGAGUUGAUGCCUUUGAAUUGUGGUGUUGGCGAAGAAUAUUGAAUAUACCAUGGACUGCCAAAAGAACAAACAAAUCUGUCUUGGAAGAAGUGCGGUCAGAAUGCUCCUUAGAGGAAAGGAUGGUGAUACUGCAUCUUACAUACUUUGGACAUGGUGUCAGGAGGGAUGAGUACCUGGAGAAGGACAUCGUGCUUGGCAGAGUAGAGGGUCAGUGGAAAAGAGGAAGACACUCAACAAGGUGGAUUGGCACAGUGGCUGAAACAAUGAGCUCAAGCAUAACAAUGGUUGUAAGGAUGGUGCAGGAUCAGGCAGUUUUUCAUUCUGUAGUGCAUAGGGUUGCUAUGAGUCGGAGCCGACUUGAUGGCAUCUAACAACAACGACAACAAAGAAUGAGAAGUAGCUGUUAAAACUUGAAGAGAAAAGAAAAGAGAAAGGGUGCAGACUGAAUGAACCAGGUAAAUGAAAUACAAUUGUGAGGCAGGAUUAAGGGCUGUCCUGAGGUAGUGUGCGUAAAUUUAUGGUGAGAUGAAUCAGAAGAAUUAUGUGUUUUUCUCCUGCCACAUUAGGGCCAUGGAAGCACAUAUGUGGAGCGUGGAGUUCUUCCUAGGGUUUAAAUUUUUGGUAUAAUGACUCUGUGUAUUUCUUCCAUCUUCUUUUGAUGCUUCCUGCAUCAUUUAAUAUUUUCAACAUAGAAUCCUUCACUAUUGCAACUCCAGGCUUGAAUUUUUUUCCUCGAUUCUUUCAGCUUGAGAAACACCGAGCGUGUUCUUCCCUUUUGGUUUACCAUCACCAGCUCUUUGCAUAGGUCAUUGUAAUACUUUACUUUGUC